UACGUAGGGGGCAAGCGUUGUCCGGAUUUAUUGGGCGUAAAGAGCGUGUAGGCGGCCUGGAAGGUCAGCUGUGAAAACUCGAGGCUCAACCUCGAGACGUCGGUUGAAACCACCUGGCUAGAGUCCGGAAGAGGAGAGUGGAAUUCCCGGUGUAGCGGUGAAAUGCGCAGAUAUCGGGAAGAACACUCGUGGCGAAGGCGGCUCUCUGGGACGGUACUGACGCUGAGACGCGAAAGCGUGGGGAGCGAACAGG
rnacentral:rRNA from 1 species